UGUGAGCAUUCAAGUUUCGUUUUUUGCACUUGCUUAGUAGCUGAAAUUGCGGACAUUGCAGGGUUGGGCUUGAUGACAUUUGUUGCUCAGCUGCCGCGACACAUUUGGAGCAAAGCUUCUGCUUAUUUCCUUUGGCCGCACCUUAUAUUUGUUGUCUUUGUCAACAUCUGACCUGUUUCUGCCUCGUUGAAAGCAAGUGGCCACAAGUACUGCUUAGUUUGCUCAGUCUAAACCUGGCCACUUCACAACUGCAAGCUGAAUCUGAUGUAGGCAGUGUCAGGGUCAUGGCCCAUAUUUUAGUGAACGCCAAGAAUGCGUCCUGUGACUGAAGUUUGAGCAUUUGAGCCCACCUUUUGGAAGUGCUUUUUAUGUGCACUCAGUAAGUGACAGUUAUCCAUGCUUCUUGACAUGAUUUUAAGUGAUCCUAGAGGCAACACUUAUUGAUCUGCAUUAUGCAAAUGUUUUUAUAUUUUCACUAAU